UCUGGUUAUCGUGUUCCUCUCUGUCCUCGUGUGGAUCAGACAAAAGAGGGCUUCCAAUGAACCGUCUGAGGCUGAAGAGAGACAAGAACACACGGAGCAGGGACAACCAGAGGAGCAGGAAGACCUUCAGUAUGCCAGCAUACACUUCUCUAAAACCCAGGAGCCUCUGUACAGCAAUACCAGACCAGCUCGG